GAUGAAGAACGCAGCGAAAUGCGAUAAGUAAUGCGAAUUGCAGAAUUUCCGUGAAUCAUCGAAUCUUUGAACGCACAUUGCGCCCGGUAGUAUUCUGCCGGGCAUGCCUGUUCGAGCGUCAUUUCAACCAUCAAGCCCCAGCGCUUGUGUUGGGGGCCUGCGGCUGCCGCAGCCCCCCAAAAGCAGUGGCGGGCUCGCUAUCACACCGAGUGCAGUAGUUCAUCUUCUCUCCGGUCUUGUGAGGCGGGUUCCGGCCGUGAAACACCCCACUACAUUCAAGGUUGACCUCGGAUCAGGUAGGAAUACCCGCUGAACUUAAGCAUAUCAAUAAGCGGAGGA
rnacentral:misc_RNA from 1 species